CGGCCACACAUCAUCUCGUACAUGACCACGCCCAGCCCCCACCAGUCUACUGCCCGGCCAUAGUCGUUGUCCUCCAGCACCUGAGGAUGGAGGGGAAAUGAGGGGCUGGGCCCAUGGCCCUGAGGCUGGAAACACACAGGCGUGACAUCCGCUGCACUGAGAAGAGUGGGUGACAGAGUGAGGUGACCUUGUGAUAGGGAGUGGAGCGGCUGCGUAAAUCCACUUCGGGAGGACAUGGGAACAGAGAGCUGCUCCUCUCCACCCCGCCCCAACCUAGGGAAGGAGGCCCCAGAAGACGAGGCCAGGGCAGCCUCGGCUCACCUCGCCACCGUUGGCGUACUCCAUCACGAAGCACAGACGGUCGUGGGUCUGGAAGGCAUACUUCAGCGCCUGGGGGAUGAAGGCAGCAGGGUUGGAGGUGGGAGGGAGAAGGCCCUGCUUAUUCUGCACACACCCUGCCCUGGCUGGGGCCUGCAGGAGUCAGCCAGAUGGGGUUCAUAUCCCAGCUGCGCCUUUUGGGGCAUAAGUGAAGGCGUGGCUCUGCAGGUAGGAAAGGGUUACAUGCAGAAUGAACCAUCUUGUCCUCUGCCUCCAUCAGGCACAGCCAGGGGAGAAACUAGAGCUGUUCUGAGCAACCAGUGCUCUUGUUUUUACAGUAAAAUGUGUUCAACUUCCACACACAAGUGAUGUCUGCUGUGGCUGGGAGUGGCAAUGGCUUGGGAGCCAACUUCAGUGACAGGAUGGACAGGCUGUCAGCCCACAAACAGUUCUGUCUGCACUAAGGAGGCCUACGGAGAGCUCCUAGAGACCCCCCGGGGGUCCCUCAGCUCAUGACAACUCAACUAUUCUGUUUUCUACACUGAGAAACCUUGUAAGGUUUUAUCUGAAAAAGUACUGUGGCUUAAUAGGAUACCUGGACAGCAACUGAGACAAAGACAUGACACAAGCCAUCCUCAGUCCAGUCCAUUUAACUGGUGGCCACUGGCCUUGAUGGAGACUGCAACCCCAAUAGCAAUCUACUCAGUCCAAACUGACAGACAACACUAUGCUAACACAUCUGCUUCUAUGCGCAUAUCUGAAAACAAAAACCAAAAAAUAAUAUAUCCACUCCGACCAGCUGGGCCAAGUGCUCUAACUCAUAGACAGCAGCCAUCAUAUAAUGUGAUAUCUUUAGUUGGUUCAAGUGCUUACAUGAAGCCUCCAUCUAUGAAGAAGCUGUCACCCUCCCACUCCCCGAGCCUGCUCACCCCCGCCACGUCUUGGUUCGGAUGAGUGGGGCAGGGGCACAGCAAUACCUUGCCCUGCCCGCCCGGCCUACCCCAAGGCUGUGCUUUGUAGCAGAAGAUUUGGGCUCUUUCCCUGAGCUCUGUCCAGGCCGGCCUCACACUGCCUGGGAAGGGGAGUGCAACUCACAGUGAGGAACGGGUGCCUGGUGUUCUGGAGGACCCGGCUCUCGGUGACCGUGUGAGCGACUUCAUCCUGCAGACAGACUGCGGGUGAGGGGCUGGGGGGCAACACCGUGCCUGCCCCCCCACCCCGACCUGAGGAAUGGGAUCAAGGCCUUGUGAGAUAUAAUUCUACUCCCAGCCAUAAAUGUAGAAACAAUGACAGGAGUGGAAUGUGAGUGCCUGCAAGCCCUCAGCAAAGAACAGACCCAGAUGAGGAUCAUCAGUGGCUCUCAAAGCCACAAGUGGAAACUCAGCAAGAAUGUGACAAUUAGGGGGCCAGGCUGCUAGGCGCAAGACAUCUGUGACACCCCUGCAGGAGAGACAGACAUCACGAGAGCCCCGAGGUCCGCCACAGCUGUGGAAAGCCCCACCUAGAAAGCGUUCUUGCCCAAAGAAGGAACUGAACCUAAUGAAGGUCUACACAGCAGAACGCUUCUCAGGGUGCGGUCCCCACACUGGCCACAUCACCACUGCCUGGGAACUGGCAGCAAUGCAAAUUCCUGGGACCUACCCACAGGCCCAGAGUCAGAAACUUGGGGUGGGCUGAGCACCAUCUCACAAGCCCUUUGGGUAACUCUGAUUCAGGUUCAAGUUUGGUACCUGGCUAUACAGGAGAACCACAAGGAGAGGUUCCAAAAAUCUGGAGCCACCUGUAGCAACUUCAACACGGACUCUCCCAGGGGCAAGUGUAUCCCCAGGGGACACCUGAGAAGGUCUAAAGUCUUUUCUUUUUCUUUUUUAGUUGGGGGUCUGGCUCUGUCACCUAGGCUGGAGUGCAGUGGUAUAAACAUGGGUCACUACAGCCUCAACCUCUGGAACUAAAGGGAUCCUCCCACUUCAGCCUCCUGAGCAGCAUAGAGGCAGGGUCUCAUUUUGUUGCUCAGGCUGGUCUCGAACUCCUGUGCUCAAGCAAUCCUCCCACCUCAGCCUUCUAAAGUGCUGGGAUUUUAGCCGUGAGCCACAGCACCCGGCCCAAACGUCAUUUUUGAUUGUCACAACUUGGGGAGCUACUAUUGGCUUUAGGGGGUAGAAUCCAGGGGUGCUGCUUAAAACCCUACAAUGCACAGGGCUGCCCCCAUAGCACAGAACAAUCUAUCCCAAAAUGUCAACAGCGCUGAGGCUGCGGAAUGCCGCCUUGGGCCCAAUCAUCACGUCAGGAAUGAACGGCUCAUGUUGAGGGCAGCACCUCAUGGUUACAUUCUUCAGUCUUCAUCGGCUGAGACACGUAUUCGAGUACGUAUGAGUGGAGUGAUGUGAUGUCCAGCACAGACCUUCAGGUAUUCCAGAGCAACAGGGGGAGGCGGAGCUAAGGAAACAAGGCUGGCUACAUGCUGAUAACCGGUGAAACUGCACAAUGGCUACAUGGUGGUCCGCAAUACUGAUUUUCUUUUUAAAUUUCUGAAUAUGUUUGGAAUCUUCCACCACAAAAACUUCAAAUAAGGGGAAAAAAUAGAAUUCCAUUCCUGGCCCGGCUUCCAACUGAGACACCUGAGCAGAGCCCCGGCCUCCCCAAAGGGACGUCCUCGCAGCCUUCCCAAGAGGCCCCAGCCUCCCUCGAUAGUACCUCCAGGGUGAGGCCCAAGGCUCUCUCUCUACAGUCACCCCCAGCCCCUACCAGAAGGUGGAGGUGGGGACUCAGAGGAUGGAGUCCAGUGAGGAUGGAAUCUGUGGGGGAAAUAAGCCCCGCCCAUGGCAGCAGACAGUGUGGGUAAGCAUCCAUGCUUCAGGGUCAGGCUCCAGACCGCAGCCCCCCCCAGAGGCCGGCAAGCGCAGUCCUGGGGCACGCACCU